GCGGGAGUGCGGGGCUUUUCAUGUCUCAGUAGUCACUGUAAUGAUUGCAGAUGGGAGCGCUGUGGGGGGGCCUGGAGCCCAGAGCUCUGUCAUUGUUGCAGGCUGGCAGGGCUGCCCUGACCCAUUACACUGGCUCUAUCCUCAGCCUCAUCUCAUCUGCCUCCCUCCCUUCCUCCCACAUGGGAGAGUAAUUGAAAAGUGUAUUUGGCAAAUUACACAUGUCUGGGUCUUGAAAAACUCUUUCAGUAUUCAGCUAUAGUCUACCUUCUUGUGCAGAGAAAUUGACAUUUCAAAAACACUUUGGGAAAAGUUGCGUCGCUGUUUCAGUGUGCUGGAUCAGAUUUAUGUAUGUAUGCGCCUGCACGGGUUUGAUUGCGUCUAAUUUGGUAGCGAGGGGAAAUCAUUUAUCCGUGGUGAUAGCCUUCCCUGGGGAAGACUCCAAUUGGACAGGGAUUAAUGAUGACGCGGCCACUGACUGGAAGUAAUACCUCUCGGAGAUUUACAACAUGGAGUUUUGAUAAACAGUAGACGGUUGCAGGUCCGUAUCGCAUCGAACUGCAUUUGUGAUGACAUGGAGAUUAGGAAUAAGAUUAACUUCUAACAGCUAUAAUAGCCUUAUCAACUGUCACUCCCUUUGAAAGGAAAGGAUUCAUCUUGAAUGGGAGAGAAGCCCGAUCACAACAAAUGGGAAAGAUAAAAUAAAAAUCCCACACCAUAAAAUGUCACGUUGACGUUAGUUCAAGAAAAUGUAGUCGAUACCGCCUUGAAAUAUUUUAACCAUCUAUAAUAUAUGUAGAAUAUCUAUUGAAAUGUUGUGUAUCCGCCUCGUUCCCCGGUUGUCGUUUGAGAUAUCUCUCUUGAGACUGUCACAGACUGAAAACAGGCCGUCAUAUCAAGUCAAAUCCUGCUGUGGACUUGAUCACUAUCAGCGGUGCUGAGCGCAACAGAGCUGUUCGGUAGUAGACCUAUGAUAUUAGUCAUGCCCUGAGUCCCCUAUUCCAGUUAGGUGACAACAAAACAAGAUUCGUUUGUGUCGUCAUCUUUUGGGUGUCAUAACACUACAAAAAACAGCUAUAAAACCAAAAGGCUCCUCACGGUGCUGCACUGUCCCUGGGUGGUGGAGAAGGCUCUGGCGGCAGGGGAUAGGGGUUACCACCAUGCUGUGUACAGAGCGCCGCUGGAUCCAGACACAUCACUACCUACAGGCUUCAAAAAGUGACGGACACGCCCCUCCGACUACGUGAUGUUCGCCCUCUCUCGCUGACUGUUUCCACAGGCCUUAUGUUUGAGGGUUACUUCAGGACGUGGGUGUCCCUUCAAACAACUUCCCCAGAGUCAGACGGGAGGCUGUGGAAGGAUUUCCGUUUGACAGAAGCCAAUCAACUGAGACCAUACGGGCCUUAAAGCCACAGUGGACUCUGAUGCCCACUUCACACAGCUCAAGGUGUUCCCUGGGUUGGUCCUAACCUACCUGCAGGAUGGGUUCGGCUGUGCAGAGGUGACCCCCCGCCACAGGGGGUGGCCGGAUACAGGGAAGCAGGCAGACACCAGUGGAACGCCAGAGGUCUGUGGAUGUGAUGUCAGUGACACCAAUCAUGGAGCAGUCCCAGCAGAACCCCCAGCCUCCCUUCAGGACAAGGGCCAGGCAGGGGCCAAGCAGACAGGGGCCUCCAAGGCAGGGGCCUCCAAGGCAGGGGCCUCCAAGGCAGGGGCCUCCAAGGCAGGAGCCAAGCAGGCAGGGGCCUACCAGGCAGGGGCCUGGGCCAGCAGGGAGAGAGCCCAGCUGUCAGUGGCCCUGCUGACAAAACUCAAAGACAAAACACCCUCAGGCUAUGUCUCAAAGGUAGGCCACUGCCCGGGUGCCUGCUGCUGACAUGGCUCACUGUUAUUGUUCAAUGACAUUCAAUGUUUUCCAUCAGUUUUCUGUAAGAUAGAUUCCUCAGAUAUCUUUUUGAAAUAUUUUUAAAAAGGCCUAGAGCUCGCUGACUGGCACGAAUUUAGAGAGAGACACAGGGCAAGGGAAGGAUAGAGAAAGAAAGAAAAACAGAGGAGAUAUCAGGGGAACUGGGAUUUAAUUUUCUUUUGGAGCAAAGAACUAAGACCUGAUGGAAUGUUCAACACCCUUGUAUUGUAAUAUGAUAUACUUUGACUGUCAGGGUCAGUCAACUAAUGUUAAUCCCCAAUAAGGUGAAUCAAAAUAAUCAUUUAUUUAAUGCUUUCUACUCUUUCUACUUCGUGAGGCUUGAUUGAGACUUUUCGAUAAUAUAGAGGCGUUGGCUGAGAUAGUUCCUAUCCCUAUCAAGAUACGGUACAUUAUAUUAUGAAUUCACCCAACCACAGAAAUAUCUGUGUGCGCUGUGUGAGCAUUAGCAUCACAGAGCUCUAACGUCCAAAGUAUGGUUAGGCUAAAUGAUCAUAAUCAGAGAGAACUCUGCCUCUGUCUGAGUGGAGAGAGACACCGUGGUCCGUAGUGCAUAAAGAGCCCUCACCCCCAACACACGUGCUCACACACACACACACACACACACACACACACACACACACACACACACACACACACACACACACAACGCCUUGCUCAGUUUCAACACUGUGCUUCCCCUACACAUCCCAGCCUCUUUAAUGCAAUUGAACAAUAUCAGAUUAGUCGCUUCACGAUUCAUUUACGAGCCCGUGUUAAAUCGUCGUCGCUCAGACAGUCAACAAGUAACGCAGCGCCAGCACUGCUGUGCCACUAGAUGACCUCACACGGCCCCAGAUGUGGCCCCAGAUGAAGACGGAUGUUUUUGUCGUGUUAAAUGGGUGUGUACCUGUAUACCUCAGCCCACUGCUCACUGAGCGCGGAGUAGGGGUUGGAGCAGGCUAGACCAUGUCUCGUUUGCAACUGAAGCCCAUUGCAUCGUGCUUUGAUCCGCUCACCCAGCCCCUCCACGUCCUCAUGCUCCAUUUGUCAUUGUUGUCGUUGCUGUGUGAAGGGAAACAUCUCCGUUAUAAAAUGCAACACACAACAGCUUUUCAUUGAGCCUCUCCCCGGAGGGGAAUAAUUAGAUUAUUCUGAUAAAGAGAAAUCUAUAAAUAUGAUCAAUCCCAAUCCAUUUUUAGAUAAAAGAGCAGGGGAAAUACAGUUAUGCUAUCUGCUCUAAUUGACCUCAUUUAGUAUAUGCAUAAAUCAUUAUUCUCAUCGUGGAUAUUAAAUGUAACGUGAAAUGAAACAUCUAAUGUCUAUCAAACAAACAAUUUCAGCGCCGUUUUCCUCUUGCAGAACUUUUAGGAAUGCAAUUUGCUCUCCGAAUGACCCUGUAUGAUUGUAUUUAAACAAUUACUGAAAAUGAAUUCUGCCAGGUUCAUUUAAAAAUCCAUAAGAUGAGCUGCCUUUUUAAUUGAUGUCGAUAAAUUGCGAGAAGCACAACAUUUUUAAGAAGCAGUUAUUUUAUUGUAAUUUUUUGGGGGGUCAACUUGUAUUUGAUUUGAUUGAACCUUUUAUUUAACUAGGCAAGUCAGUUAAGAACAAAAUCCUUAUUUACAAUGACCAAACCAGGACAUCGUUGGGCAAAUUGUGUUCUGCCCUCCCAAUCGCAGCCAGAUGUGAUUCAGCCUGGAUUUGAACCAGGGACCCCUCUUGCACUGAGAUACAGUGCCUUAGACCGCUGCACCGCUGUGAGAGUUCAACAAUCCCUCUUGUAUUUCUGGUUCCAUACUUUAAAUGUGUGUUAUUUUUGGCUACAUCACAAUGAAGCAGAAGACUUUAUUAAGUUCAUAAAGUAAGUUGAAUCUCAUGCCUCUAAAUGAAUACAACCUCUCCCGUAUAAUGAUAUUCCAAAUAAUAUAUGAGAACCAUUAUUCAUGUACAAAUGUUAAUUGCACUUGCAAAAUAAAUAAAAAAG